AUCUGUCGUUUUAACUUCUUUAAUUCACCUAUCUGGACGUCUCACCUUCUCUUCUACAAACUUCACCUGCUUCUCUCUUUCUCUCUCUCUGUCCUCCCAGCGAAGAGCUUCUUCUCUGUAAAUUUCAAGCCCUGCGAUAUAGCCAAGUUUGAGUCUUUCAGUCUCCGCCAGCAAUAAGUUUUCCAUCCGAGAGAAGCUGCGACUCAGAGUCGCUUGAGCUUGACGGAGGACACGUGGCAGAAAUUCUUUGAUCCAGGUCGCUGUACGCUGUUGACGCUGUGUUCUGGAAUGGUAUUCGUGAUUGUUAUAUCGGUGCCGUUGCUGCUCCUAGCGGCGAUCCUGGCCAUAGCCUGUUACUUAAUGGGCCGGGCUUACUGGACUCGCCGGGCUGCGCAAUAUUACGGCCCACCUGCACCGCCUCCGGUCCCCCAACCUAAAGUAUGAGCCUAAAUGAAGAGAAGGAGAACUACACUUAUUAUGUGAUGUGAGGAGGUUGUGAAUUCUAUUUUGUUAUGAAGGUAUUUGAGGUUUGUGAAUA